CACACAUUAGGCGUUCAUUAAUGAUCACUUGUUUUGCGUGUAUGCAUUAUCAGAAUGGUUAUUAUAUGCAUCGUAUUUGACUGACUUGUAAGUAAUACUGCCAUUAACUCUUAGCGUUGUAAUAUUUAUUUAUUUUUUGGGAGAGCUCAAGCAGGGGAGGGGCAGAGAGAGAGAGAGACAGAGGAUCCAAAGUGGGUUCUGUGCUGACGGGCUGACAGCCGCAAGCCCGAUGUGGGGCUCAGACUCCUGAACUGGGAGAUCAUGACCUGAGCCAAAGUCGGGUGCUUAACCAACUGAGCUACCCAGGCGCCCCUACUCUUAGUGUUUUAAAAAAGUCUCUUCACUUGCAGAACUGUAACAAAGCGAAAGGAAAGUUUCAUCUAUUUUGCCUCUUUUCCAACAGGUGGGGUUUUCAAAUUUAUAUCAAUGAUGUUAUUUUCUACAGAAAACAAUGCCGGCAUGUUUUUCUGUAUAUAUGCGUGAUAAGUUCCCCGGCUUUUCCUCCGCUGUUUGUAGUGACAUUGUAGAAUAAGCCUUUGAAAUAGAGA